UACGGGGGGAGCAAGCGUUGUUCGGAUUUACUGGGCGUAAAGGGUGCGUAGGCGGGUCUUUAAGUCAGGGGUGAAAUCCUGGAGCUCAACUCCAGAACUGCCUUUGAUACUGAAGAUCUUGAGUUCGGGAGAGGUGAGUGGAACUGCGAGUGUAGAGGUGAAAUUCGUAGAUAUUCGCAAGAACACCAGUGGCGAAGGCGGCUCACUGGCCCGAUACUGACGCUGAGGUGCGAAAGCGUGGGGAGCAAACAGG
rnacentral:rRNA from 1 species